GGGCCUUCUCUGGGUCCUCUGGACUCCAGUUUCUUCUUCUGUGACUCAUGCAUCGGUGUGGCAGCUGAAGGCAGGAUCUGGGAUGCCAGGCCUGUGAACCCUGCACCCUGGCCAUCCAUCCAGGCCUUCUCUGAACACCAGAAGGCAGAGACUGCAGGCCCAAGGAUUUGGGGGACAAGAGGAAUGAACCCAUCGAUUCUGGAAGUUUAACCGGGGGAGCUACAGGUGAAGAUAAA
rnacentral:lncRNA from 1 species